rnacentral:rRNA from 1 species
GAUGAACGCUAGCGACAGGCCUAACACAUGCAAGUCGAGGGGCAGCACAUGAGUAGCAAUACGAUGGUGGCGACCGGCGCACGGGUGAGUAACACGUAUGCAACCUGCCUGUAAGAGGGGGAUAACCCGGAGAAAUUCGGACUAAUACCGCAUAAUACCACGAGACUGCAUGGUUUUGUGGUUAAACAUUUAUGGCUUACAGAUGGGCAUGCGUAUGAUUAGAUAGUUGGUAGGGUAACGGCCUACCAAGUCUACGAUCAUUAGGGGUUCUGAGAGGAAGGUCCCCCAACUGGUACUGAGACACGGACCAGACUCCUACGGGAGCAGCAGUGAGGAAUAUCGGUCAAGUGGGCGAGAGCCUGAACCAGCCAAGUCGCGUGAAGGAAGAAGGUUCUAUGGAUUGUAAACUUCUUUGCAGGGGAAUAAAGGACGGUACGUGUACUGUUUUGUAUGUACCUUGCGAAUAAGGAUCGGCUAACUCCGUGCCAGCAGCCCG